GCUUACGGCCAUACCACCUUAGGCACGCCCGAUCUCGUCUGAUCUUGGAAGCUAAGCAGGGUCGGGCCUGGUUAGUACUUGGAUGGGUGACCGCCUGGGAAUACCAGGUGCUGUAAGCA
rnacentral:rRNA from 1 species